UACGUAGGUGGCAAGCGUUGUCCGGAAUUAUUGGGCGUAAAGAGCGUGUAGGCGGCCUGACAGGUCAGCUGUGAAAACUCGAGGCUUAACCUCGAGACGUCGGUUGAAACCAUCUGGCUAGAGUCCGGAAGAGGAGUGUGGAAUUCCCGGUGUAGCGGUGAAAUGCGCAGAUAUCGGGAAGAACACCCGUGGCGAAGGCGGCACUCUGGGACGGUACUGACGCUGAGACGCGAAAGCGUGGGGAGCGAACAGG
rnacentral:rRNA from 1 species